UAGACUAUACUUCACAGGAUCAUUUCUGUAGUAAGUCUUCAUUACUUUCCUUUGUUACCUUUCUUUUUUAUGUAUACGAUAUAGAGCUUGUUAGUGAA